UACGUAGGGUGCGAGCGUUUAAUCGGAAUUACUGGGCGUAAAGGCGUGCGCAGGCGGUGAUGUAAGACCGAUGUGAAAUCCCCGGGCUUAACCUAGGAACUGCAUUGGUGACUGCAUUGCUGGAGUAUGGCAGAGGGGGGGUGGAAUUCCACGUGUAGCAGUGAAAUGCGUAGAGAUGUGGAGGAACACCGAUGGCGAAGGCAGCCCCCUGGGCCAAUACUGACGCUCAUGCACGAAAGCGUGGGGAGCAAACAGG
rnacentral:rRNA from 1 species